GGGGAAUAUUGGACAAUGGGCGAAAGCCUGAUCCAGCCAUGCCGCGUGUGUGAAGAAGGUCUUCGGAUUGUAAAGCACUUUAAGUUGGGAGGAAGGGCAGUAAAUUAAUACUUUGCUGUUUUGACGUUACCGACAGAAUAAGCACCGGCUAACUCUGUG
rnacentral:rRNA from 1 species